UACGGAGGGUGCAAGCGUUUAAUCGGAAUUACUGGGCGUAAAGCGUGCGCAGGCGGUUUGUUAAGUCCGUUGUGAAAGCCCCGAGCUCAACUUUGGGAAUUGCAGUGGAUACUGGCAGGCUGGAGUACGGUAGAGGAAGGUGGAAUUCCCGGUGUAGCAGUGAAAUGCGUAGAUAUCGGGAGGAACACCAGUGGCGAAGGCGGCCUUCUGGACCAGUACUGACGCUCAUGCACGAAAGCGUGGGGAGCAAACAGG
rnacentral:rRNA from 1 species